UGUAUUAAAUAAUUGGUUGAUAAGGAUUAUGGGAUUAUGGGAAAAUACCCAUGAUUGUUAUUUGAUUGUCAGUGAUAACCAUUAAUCUCGAAAACUCGAACUAUUACUAAUACGCAAUUAAUUCACUUAAAGAGUAUAAAUACACGACCCACGAGUCUUAAUUUUGACUUGGCCUAACUAAACUCAUGUCAUUGCAAACAUGGCUGGGCCCAACCCAAUAUCCCGUCAUUUCAAACUUGACUUAGCCCAACCUAGCCCUCUGCCACACGACAGGAUGCUGGCCUCUUUAAACCAACAAUUCCCCCUUCCCUUCCUCCCUCCAAUGCAUAAAUUUGCAGUAUGCAGGAAUAGAGCCCAUGGCCUCUAGCUCUGAUACUACUAGUCAGAUUUGCUAUCAUCACUCCAAUCGGUAGAGAAAGUUUUGUUCUUUUUUUUCUCCUUCCAGGGAGACUUACUCUGAUGUUGGCAAUCGUGUUUGAUUUUGUUACA
rnacentral:lncRNA from 1 species